rnacentral:rRNA from 1 species
CCAAUAGCGUAUAUUAAAGUUGUUGCAGUUAAAAAGCUCGUAGUUGAACUUCGGGGUUUACCCAUUGGUCAGGCUUAAUCGUCUGUACUGGUGAGAUGAAUCUCUACCUUCUGAGGAACUUUCAUGCCAUUUAUUUGGUGUGAUUGGAAAUUAGGGCUGUUACUUUGAAAAAAUUAGAGUGUUUAAAGCAGGCUAACGUAUGAAUCAUUUAGAAUGGAAAUAUGAAAUAAGACGGACUGAUUCUAUUUCGUUGGUUUCUAGGAUCACCGUAAUGAUUAAUAGGGAUAGUUGGGGGCAUUAGUAUUCAAUUGUCAGAGGUGAAAUUCUUGGAUUUAUUGAAGACUAACUACUGCGAAAGCAUUUGCCAAGGAUGUUUUCAUUAAUCAAGAACGAAAGUUAGGGGAUCGAAGACGAUCAGAUACCGUCGUAGUCUUAACCAUAAACUAUGCCGACUAGGGAUCGGACGAAGUUAAUUUUAUAAUGACGCGUUCGGCACCUUACG